rnacentral:tRNA from 1 species
UUAAUUAUAACAUUUGAUUUGCAUUUAAAAAGUAUUGAUUUUUCAAUCUACCUUA